rnacentral:rRNA from 1 species
GAUGAACGCUGGCGGCGUGCCUAAUACAUGCAAGUCGAGCGAACGGACGAGAAGCUUGCUUCUCUGAUGUUAGCGGCGGACGGGUGAGUAACACGUGGAAAACCUACCUAUAAGACUGGGAUAACUUCGGGAAACCGGAGCUAAUACCGGAUAAUAUUUUGAACCGCAUGGUUCAAAAGUGAAAGACGGUCUUGCUGUCACUUAUAGAUGGAUCCGCGCUGCAUUAGCUAGUUGGUAAGGUAACGGCUUACCAAGGCAACGAUGCAUAGCCGACCUGAGAGGGUGAUCGGCCACACUGGAACUGAGACACGGUCCAGACUCCCACGGGAGGCAGCAGUAGGGAAUCUUCCGCAAUGGGCGAAAGCCUGACGGAGCAACGCCGCGUGAGUGAUGAAGGUCUUCGGAUCGUAAAACUCUGUUAUUAGGGAAGAACAUAUGUGUAAGUAACUGUGCACAUCUUGACGGUACCUAAUCAGAAAGCCACGGCUAACUACGUG